rnacentral:lncRNA from 11 species
CUGUGAUUCAUUCAUUCCAACAAUCAAGACUAAUUACAAUUGUGACAACCCUGUGUGACAGUGGGUGACUUCAAUAUAAAAUCAUCAAGAUGGCAGCUGAAGAGGAGCCAGACUUCUGAAGAGACAGGGUCAAACCCAAGGAGAUCUACCCAAAUCUAUAAUCUAAGAAUCAUUAAACGAAGCCCCCCCACAUUAAGAUCCAUGGGACGG